UACGUAUGGUGCAAGCGUUAUCCGGAUUUACUGGGCGUAAAGGGAGCGCAGGCGGCGCGCCAAGUCUGAUGUGAAACCCCGGGGCUCAACCCCGGGCAUGCAUUGGAAACUGGCGGGCUGGAGUGCCGGAGAGGUAAGCGGAAUUCCUAGUGUAGCGGUGAAAUGCGUAGAUAUUAGGAGGAACACCAGUGGCGAAGGCGGCUUACUGGACGGCAACUGACGCUGAGGCUCGAAAGCGAGGGGAGCAAACAGG
rnacentral:rRNA from 1 species